CAAGAACCAUAGAGAUAGAAAGAAGAGUAAGUAAAACUCCAAUUAGACCAUGGCUGCAGCAUGCUUGUGAGAUAGAAAAUACUAAAAAUUCAAUUUUAUGUAAGUUAGUAACUAGUGGAUUGCUUCUGGAGCUCAUGCCAGAGCUGGGAGUCACAUGAGAGUUCAUGGAAGAAAGAUAUCUGUGGUAGAGUCCUGGAUGUGACAGAACACAGAUGGCACCAACGAGUUUCACAGCCAGAAAGAGAAGGUCCCGCUUGAGUGAGGACAGAUGCAAAGACUGGAGAUCAGAGCUCUUGAAACUAAGCAGUUGAAAUUACUGUUUAACUCGGGCUCCUCCAGAGGAUUCAAGCCAGUAUCCACAGUACUCAUUGAGCACCUGCCAUGCUCCAGGCAUUGAACAAAAUAGACAAAGAUCCUGCCCUCAUGAAGCUUGUAUUCCGCUUAUUGGGAACUCCUUGAAGCAAUUCAUAAACUCAGGCUCGUGUAUAUGUGUGGAU
rnacentral:lncRNA from 1 species